rnacentral:rRNA from 1 species
UACAGGGGUCGCAAGCGUUAAUCGGAUUUACUGGGCGUAAAGCGUGUGUAGGUGGUUGUACAAGUCGGUUGUGAAAUCCCCGGGCUCAACCUGGGAACUGCUUCCGAGACUGUGCGACUAGAGAUCGGUAGAGGGCGGUGGAAUUUCCGGUGUAGCGGUGAAAUGCGUAGAUAUCGGAAGGAACACCAAUGGCGAAGGCAGCCGCCUGGGCCUGAUCUGACACUGAGACACGAAAGCGUGGGGAUCAAACAGG